CCUGGCGGCGAGUGGCGAACGGGUGAGUAAUACAUCGGAACGUGCCCAAUCGUGGGGGAUAACGUAGCGAAAGCUACGCUAAUACCGCAUAAGAUCUACGGAUGAAAGCGGGGGAUUCGCAAGAACCUCGCGCGAGUGGAGCGGCCGAUGGCAGAUUAGGUAGUUGGUGAGGUAAAGGCUCACCAAGCCUUCGAUCUGUAGCUGGUCUGAGAGGACGACCAGCCACACUGGGACUGAGACACGGCCCAGACUCCUACGGGAGGCAGCAGUGGGGAAUUUUGGACAAUGGGCGAAAGCCUGAUCCAGCAAUGCCGCGUGCAGGAUGAAGGCCUUCGGGUUGUAAACUGCUUUUGUACGGAACGAAAAGGUCUGCCCUAAUACGGCGGGCCCAUGACGGUACCGUAAGAAUAAGCACCGGCUAACUACGUGCCAGCAGCCGCGGUAAUACGUAGGGUGCAAGCGUUAAUCGGAAUUACUGGGCGUAAAGCGUGCGCAGGCGGUUAUAUAAGACAGUUGUGAAAUCCCCGGGCUCAACCUGGGAACUGCAUCUGUGACUGUAUAGCUAGAGUACGGUAGAGGGGGAUGGAAUUCCGCGUGUAGCAGUGAAAUGCGUAGAUAUGCGGAGGAACACCGAUGGCGAAGGCAAUCCCCUGGACC
rnacentral:rRNA from 1 species